rnacentral:lncRNA from 1 species
AAGCUUGAAGGUAUAAAGAAUUGAAAUUGAAUUAUCAAUAUAUUUAACAUUCAUACAGGCAUACAAGCUUUCCAGAUUAAUUCUUUCUGGAAUUUGUACUGUUCUAGCAUUGUUUUACAUUGUAUAAUAACAUCCUAGAAUCAAAGCAUUGAUUACGCAGUUGUUCAGAAUCCGUUCCACGAUGUAGGAUGAAUUCUUGUCCAGGACGGAUCACCUUCCUUCGUGCUCAUUUAGCCUCUGAACAUAGCAUACACCAUAAGGUACCUUCAACCACACAUAACAGCAACACACAUCUUGUUCUUGGCAUCCAAAUUUGGUUGGGUGAGCUCAAGCACAGUUAAGACUCAAUAUUUGCUUAGAUCCACGAGAGGUAAAAAGCAGGAAACUGAUCACGAAGAAGUGAAGCCUAGGGAAAAGAAUGUCAUUCACAGCCAACUUCCUAAGAAGAAAGUUUAACCGACCAGGAAACCUCAAAACAAAAUGUUACUACAGACAUUGUAGCAGAUAUUACAAGGCUCAAAUCUCAAACAGGAUAUCAUUCAGACACAUUACAUCCUAUUCAAUCAACCGGAGUUCUAGGCUCAACAGAAUAAGCCCUAAACACAUCCCCCCAAGUUAAAUUCUCAAAAUCUUGUCUUCUAAUGAAGGUAUCUAUGAACGACUAACAAUUCAAGAUUGAUGUAAUUGUAAGCAAAAACAAAAACAAAAAGAGUAAAUUCAUGUGAAAACCAAAGGAGUAAACUACUCAAUCCUAAAUUAUCCAUUAAGAUUAUAGAUAUGUUAACCCUAUUCUUGUUAAUGUAGUAAGAACCAUAGGUGUUAAAUUACAACGAUAAGACACCUGAAUGAACCAAGACAGGCAAUGAACAUGUUACUAAAACAGCGGUAGUGGAUCUCAGCAUGGAAAAAUGUCUUCAAUCCUUAUAAAAGGAAGUUCAGAUAGAUAACGCAGUUUGUAAAGUAGCAUCAUAGACCCAAUGAAAGCAUAUCCACAAACUCAUUCAGCAUCGAUUAACAACUCAUGCAAGGGGUUCAAUUUAACCAAACAAUGUAGUAACAUAGAAAAAAAAUUCAAGGUUAAACUGGAUCUUAGUAUGAGAUUAGUGUUAUCUUCAUUUCCAUUUAAAGAAAGGACUAUCAGAUAGAUAACGCAGGAUAAAAUUUAACACCUUUGAUCCAUAAAACCAAAACCCAGAAAGGGAAAGAGUUGAAAACGAAGCAUCUCAGAUAUAAAAAAUUGCCCACUUUGUUUCUUCACUGACAAUCGAAGUGCAAGGAUAACAAUUUAAUUAUCUCCUCAACGAUAUGAAAACAAAAAGGUGCAGAAAAUUACAACAUAUAAAUCAUCUGGAAACAGAAAUUCAGAUUGUUGUGUUAAAGAGACCAGUUUUGUUUCAGAAAAAAAUGGUACCUUGAAACACUGGUAACCCUAGGCCGCCUUUUCUAGAAAAGCCCCAUAUAUUUUAUGGGUUUCUGCCCUUGUGACCUAUUUUCUUUGUUAUUUGAAACGAAUUAUGGAACUCAACAAUUCCAAGGUUUUCGGGUCUUGGGCUCUUGGCUGUAAUCCAGUACUGCAUGCUGCUCUUGUAUUGUCUUCAAGAAUACAAAAUGGUUUGAUUUAGCAUAUUAUUGGGUGUAAUUUAUGUCAUUCUGAACUCAUCCAUGGCUGAAGGCAAUUCUGCGGUAGGUACAGUGCAAGUUUUAUACAACAUUGAAAUCAAAC